AGAGUUUGAUCCUGGCUCAGGACGAACGCUGGCGGCGUGCUUAACACAUGCAAGUCGAACGAGAGCGUAGAGAAAGCUUGCUUUUUCUACAAUCUAGUGGCAAACGGGUGAGUAACGCGUAAACAACCUGCCCUACGGAUGGGGACAACAGCUGGAAACGGCUGCUAAUACCGAAUACGUUCCGAAAGUCGCAUGACUAUCGGAAGAAAGGAUGGCCUCUAUUUAUAAGCUAUCGCCGGAGGAGGGGUUUGCGUCUGAUUAGCUAGUUGGAGGGGUAACGGCCCACCAAGGCGACGAUCAGUAGCCGGUCUGAGAGGAUGAACGGCCACAUUGGAACUGAGACACGGUCCAGACUCCUACGGGAGGCAGCAGUGGGGAAUCUUCCGCAAUGGGCGAAAGCCUGACGGAGCAACGCCGCGUGAGUGAAGAAGGAUUUCGGUUCGUAAAGCUCUGUUGUUAGGGAAGAAUGGAUAUGUAGUAACUAUACAUAUAAGAGACGGUACCUAACCAGAAAGCCACGGCUAACUACGUGCCAGCAGCCGCGGUAAUACGUAGGUGGCAAGCGUUGUCCGGAAUUAUUGGGCGUAAAGCGCGCGCAGGCGGCUUCUCAAGUCCCUCUUAAAAGUGCGGGGCUUAACCCCGUGAUGGGAUGGAAACUGGGAAGCUCAGAGUAUCGGAGAGGAAAGCGGAAUUCCUAGUGUAGCGGUGAAAUGCGUAGAUAUUAGGAGGAACACCAGUGGCGAAAGCGGCUUUCUGGACGAAAACUGACGCUGAGGCGCGAAAGCCAGGGGAGCGAACGGGAUUAGAUACCCCGGUAGUCCUGGCCGUAAACG
rnacentral:rRNA from 1 species